GAUGAACGCUAGCUACAGGCCUAACACAUGCAAGUCGAGCGACCGGCGCACGGGUGAGUAACACGUAACCCACCCGCCCUUUACUCGGGGACAGCUUUUCGAAAGAAAGAAUAAUACCCGAUAUAAAGGACGGGGAUGCGUUUCCUUAGGUUGUUGGUGAGGUAACGGCUAACCAAGCCUUCGAUGGAUAGGGGUUCGGAGAGGCAGGUCCCCCGCAUUGGAACUGAGUCACGGUCCACUCUCCUACGGGAGAGAGGGGUUAGGAAUAUUGGUCAAUGAGCGCUAGCCUGACCCAGCCAAGUAGCGGGAAGAAUGAUGGCUUUUGGGUCGUAUACUACUGUUAAAUAAGGAUAGGUAUUAUAUGAAUAAGGAUCGGCUAACUCCGUGCCAGCAGCCGCGGUAAUUC
rnacentral:rRNA from 1 species